UUCUACCGAGGUCAAGGCUUCCCUUCCUCAUCCAUCCUUAUCUCCAUCAGAAGCUCUGGCCACCAUCUCCCUCACCCGAUCCACACAACGCCCCUCCAUUCCAUGAGUUCACCUUCCAUCACUGAUCGUCAAAAUUCUAUCCAUCUACUCGAAGAGGUUAAAGGGAUUUUCCUUCCUCUUGUCAUCUACUAUCCAUCAACUACCAGCAACGCCACUUCCAUGUCCACCAGAAUUCUUAUCAAUCGCAACGCAGGCUUCCAUCUAGUAGAAUAGAGGAUCGUUGAUUUCCUCAACCAUCGCCGCUGAUCUUUUUCUUAGAUUUGAGAUGAGACAAUCAUUGAGGCUAUGAGGGAGGAGGGGUUUUUCCAUCACCUUCUAACUUCUGUGUCCCUAUUCAGAUCAACACUUAAUCAUCUUCGAUCAGAUUUCCUUCUGAGUUCUUCAUCGCAGAUUCAAAUCAGAACGAGUUAGGGUUGACUAACUUGUGUUGUGAGUUUAAUUUGGUUGUCAAUUUCCCUACAUUUACUUUCUUGAACAAAUUCCAUGGGUAAUCCGAAUGAUUGUUGCUUGAUUGGUUAGGUGAUUGUUUGUUUGUUACAUGUUCUUGAUUGAGUUAGCUAUUAUUCUGGGUUCUCUACCUCAGUUCAGUAGUUUGGAUAGUUUGGAUGCUUUAUUUCUUUCCAAUUUCAUGAUUUGAUUGUAUGUGUAGUAUAUUUUCCUUUAUUUUCUCUCUUAUGCAUGUAGUAGUUAGAUAUUGUCAAUGUUUAAGUUCUAUUACAUGCUUUAUGCUUCUUAGGUUAGUGGAAAUCAUAGAUUAGGUUAAAUAGGUUGUCUUUCAUUAUUAAAAAAAAUGUUAUUGGAGAAAUAGCCUUAUUAGAUUUUUUGAGAAUUUUAAAAUUUUUUUAGGGAUUUAAACAGAGUCUGUAUGACUCGUUUUGAGGUGAUGAAUCAGUGGGGCUAAGUGGAGGUCUAUUUAGAAUAUCCAAAUUAAGUGGGAGUUGAUUAAGAGUGAACUUAGAGUUUAAUUAAGCUAACCCUAAGUUUAUAUUAUACAUUUUUCCUAAUUCUUUCUCCUCUCUUUAUUCCUCUCCCGAACCUAUCGCGUUAUCUCCUCUCCCUCAUGCAUCACCCUCUUUCCUAAUUUCACCUUCUUCUCUUCCCCCUCUCUUGGUUCCAAUCACGUCGAUCACCGGCAACUGGGCAUCGAUGCCAAUGGCCACAAAGGGGUAGAUCACUGCUCAUGUCGUCCCUGAUCUGUAGCCUCAUCGAGCGCCGGUGUCGGGAUUCUUCAUAGCUGCAGACACCACCUCUUCCUCCCAACUACACCCGCAGGGCACCCGAUCGGACUUGAAGCUUGGAGAGAAGGCAAAUCAUAAGAGUAUUGUCUUCUCUGCGGGCUCGAAGAGGAGAGUGCAAGUUCUACACAGAGACUUCAUAGGAUUUUCCUUGAGCAUCUAUGGGUUUGAGUGGUUUCCUCUUCAUUACAACAACCUCGGGUUUCUUCACCGACUGGCUGUAGUUCCGGAUUGAGGACAGUGAUUUGAGGUGAGCGUCUUGACGUGGGAUUGGUUUAUCACGAUCGACAAAAAAAAAGGUAGUAGGUAGAUAGUUGGUGUGUCGCUUGGAGUAUCCUGUCUGCCGGUCCUACAUUGCAUUAGAAGAUGGUUUCACCUCGCUUUUGUUUUCUUUUAUAUAUUCUUUAUUAUUUUGGCGUUGUAUUUGUGUUUAGCCAUAUGACUAUCUUAUUAUUUUUGGUGUUGUAUUUGUGUUUAAGCCGUGUCGGCACGCGUUGUAUCUAUUUGGUUUGGGUGGGAUUUUCUUUCAUUUUUCGCUGUAUUUUUAGUGUAGCCGUGUGAGCUGUUAUAUAUAUAUAUAACUGCGUGGUUGUGAUUAUUUUGUUCUAGACGAGUGGGCUGAGUUUAUAACUGCGUGGUUGUGUAUAUUUCAGUCAUGUGGGCUGAUGUAUAUAGUUGUGUAUGUAUAUAUGAUUCAUAUUAUCACUA